CAAUAGCGUAUAUUAAAGUUGUUGCAGUUAAAAAGCUCGUAGUUGGAUUUCGGGGCAGCCUGGCUGGUCCGCCGCAAGGCGGGUACUGGUCAGCCGCCCUUCCUCUCGAAAGCCCCGACUGCUCUUCGUUGCAGUGGUCGGGUAGUUCGGGACGUUUACUUUGAAAAAAUUAGAGUGUUCAAGGCAGGCCUACGCCUGAAUACAUUAGCAUGGAAUAAUGGAAGAGGACCUCGGUCCUAUUUUGUUGGUUUCCAGGGCCGAAGUAAUGAUUAAGAGGGACAGUUGGGGGCAUUCGUAUUUAAUUGUCAGAGGUGAAAUUCUCGGAUUUAUGAAAGACGAACAACUGCGAAAGCAUUUGCCAAGGAUGUUUUCAUUAA
rnacentral:rRNA from 1 species